rnacentral:rRNA from 1 species
UAAGAAUUUAAAAGUCGAACAGACUUAAACUUAAGAACUCUACCCCUUAAAAUUUUCUUAAUUCAACAUCGAGGUCGCAAAAUACAAUAUAGAUAUGAACUCCCCAUUGAAAUUACGCUGUUAUCCCUAAGGUAACUUAUUCUUAUUCUCCACUAUUAAGGAUCUAAAAUUACAUAAAUAAAUGAAUAAUAAAACUAAAGUUAAUAAUUUAGUUACCACCCCAGCAAAAUAUAAACAAUCAUUAAAAAAUAUAUAAAUUAAACUCAAUAAUGAUUUAAUUAUAUAAAGUUCUAUAGGGUCUUAUCGUCCCAAUAAAUCAUUAAAGCAUUUUAACUUUAAAUUCAAAUUUUAACCCUUUAAAGAAAUAAAAUAUAAUUCUCAUACAUCCAUUCAUACAAGCUUUCAAUUAAAAAACUAAUUACUAUGCUACCUUUGCACAGUCAAAAUACUGCAGCCAUUUAGAAAUCAAAACCAUAGGGCAGAAGAUACUUUUUAUGUAAACCA